UCACAAGCAAAAUACAAUAUAAGCAAAUCCCUCUAAAUUUUCGAUUAGGCAGUAAACGAACUCAGCAGACAAAUGAGAGAUGAAAUUUUUUUCUGUCAUAAAUAACAAACUUGAUACCUCAAUCAAAACAAUAUGGAAACCAAACCAAUCAGGAAUUCUAACUUCCUCACCUAAACCGUGUACUGAAUCAUCAAAUGUGUAGUGCUCCCCUCACUCUAGAAUUCAUGAAUGUGCAUGUUAGUUAUUCUCCUGUUUUGACUCCCUCAAAUACCAAUCCACCUUAGUAAGACAAUAGUUUCUAGAUGCAUAAGCUGAUUUACAUGCUAAGCAGGAGAUAUAUU
rnacentral:lncRNA from 1 species